rnacentral:rRNA from 1 species
AUGGCGAUGGGCAGCAUGAGGUUGAUGUUGAGGGCCUUGACCUUGAUGGUGGUGCAAAGGCAGAGAGCAGCGUCGAGGUCGGCAACGCCGGACAGCAGCGGGCAGCAUGUAUUCCUGGCGCUACUGCCGAUCACCGCGUGCAACAGCCCAUUGAGCGCGUCCACGCACGCAAGUAGCUUCAGUGUGUCCACGGGGCACUUGCCGGUCGAUGUAGCCGGC